rnacentral:tRNA from 1 species
GGGCGGUUAGCUCAGUGGUAGAGCACCGGUCUUACACACCGGCUGUCACAGGUUCGAACCCUGUACCGCCCACCA